UCUAUCACAAGGAAUAUUAGUACAAACCGAAAUUCGACUCUGUCAGAAGCUCAGUGAGAGACUGGAGUUCUCUCUCUCAAUCCCAAUCCUUUCCAGCACGCACGGUACCACUCACCCACCUCGAGUUUGUUGACAGCGGUUUGAGCACUGGCAAAAGAUACCCAGCUGAAAUGGGCAUGCAUAGAUAGGGUAAGGGGUAUGGUGUUCACAAAUAUGACAAAUACUAACCCAACGAACUCGGGUUCGUUCGGUUUUCUUAUGGAAGUUUCGUAGGUAGAAUGCUUGGCAAUUUAACACUGUCGAUCUCUUCUGUUCCAACCGCUCAAGCGAGCAGUAAAGUGCGCGGCGCGUUAAAAAUUUCAAAGUAUGCCAAUGAUAGGCAAAUUCUAUUAGUGGUGUUUUUUUCUAACAUUUUAUUGUGUUCUUCAACUUAUAGGUCUAGAUAAAAAAUAAAUAGAACGGAAAACUUUGUUAGUGCGUAUAAAGUAAAAUAGUACGUUAAAAGGUAAACGGCAACAAUAUCGCCUAACAUCGUUACUUAACGAAGAAUAGAUCCUGUAAAGAAAAAGGUCCACAAAGGGCCUUUUUCUUCUAUUUAACAGCUUUUGUCUGGGAAACGCCACCAUAAUUCCCAGACAAAUAAAUACAAAAGGAACAGAAGAAUAAGACGGAAGAAGUGGCCAUUUUGGAUGGAAAGUUGGUGCCACUUAUCGCCAUAUUGAAAGGAAGCUAACAUCGAACGUCCCGUGGACAACUCCAGCAAUUCCUUUUCGUUGGACAAGGAGGCCAUUAGGCGUCAAUUCGCCACCCGGCCAAGUAGGCACGUCGAGCGAAGCCCCGGUGGGCUGGAUAGGCCGUCGGCCAUCACUCCGACCACGAAAACUUCCGGUGAGCCGCCUGAAAGGAAAAUUACUUAGCUUCGGCAGGGAGCAACGUCCAUCAACCUGCAACGGACGUCUGCCACGAUCGCCAGAAUCUUCGUCUCGCCUCCGCGUGCGAGAAAACGCAAAGCAAUCAAUUACCGCAUUUCGCCGACCACAGAAGAACCUAGACCUACAUACAAAAAACCGCAAGUAAAAUAAUGUGACGUCACAAAAACAAAAACUAGAAUAAGUUAAAACCAUAAAUCUAUGUUAUCCAUAAUUGUUAAUAUACCCUA